rnacentral:rRNA from 1 species
UGAGGAAUAUUGGUCAAUGGGCGGGAGCCUGAACCAGCCAAGCCGCGUGAGGGAAUAAGGCGCCAAGCGUCGUAAACCUCUUUUGUCAGGGAACAAAAGCGGGCACGCGUGCCCGUCCGAGUGUACCUGAGAAAAAGCAUCGGCUAACUCCGUGCC